UGUAAAACAUACUUCUGGUGAAACUGUUUUUCUUACUGUAAACCUGAGGAUACCUCUUAAUUGUUAAUUCUAUUUGUUCCAACGGAUCUUUCGAAUGUUUUAAUAGACAGAUUUAUACAGAGCAAUCAACGUACAUAACGUGAGCUUUCUUCGCGAGGUUCCUUCGAUGGAGAUGAGUCUAACGAUGGCCUCCAUAAUCGCAAUAUCAGGAUACUAAUUAUCUGGCUAAUAUUUUCAAGUGGCGACAAGCAAGAGAUACUACAUAUAUGAAGAUAAUAAUAUCGGAUAGAGGAUGCCAAUAAAGUUGCAAUAGUGAUAACUGAAAGCUCGGAAAUACACAUUCCUUUUGGAAUAAAUCCAGUAAAUUCUUAGUUAGAAAAUCAACAACAGCAGCAGGAAGAUUUCGCGCAAC